AACUCUCGGCAACGAAUAUCUUAGCUCUCAUAUUAAUAAAGAACGUAGCGAAAUGCGAUACUUGGUGUGAAUUGCAGAAUCACGUGAACCAUCGACUCUUAGAAUGCAUUUUGCACCCGAAGCCAUUAGGCCAAGGGCACUUUUGCCUGGGCGUCA
rnacentral:rRNA from 1 species